GCUACCAGGAUAAUUUCCUGCGACUUCCUUGAAAUUUUCUAACCUACAUAACCUAACAUGUGAACUACAAAUUCACAAUCUUGCGUGUAUUGUUGCACGAUUGACUGUUUAAUAACAAGUUCAAAGAAGUAAGAGUAGUGCAAAACAUGGAGACCCAGUAUAAAAAACACCAAUUAAUAAAUUUAAUCCAUUUCAUAUCAAUUUAAUAUUUAAUCAUGUGUAAGUUGUAAUAAAUUGUGUAAAAUCUUAUCGUAAUACGUGUACAUGUAUACCUAGUGAGUAGGUACACACAAUCAAACAAAGAAGUAUUUCCAUGAUUUUGUAAUAUUUGUCAUAUUCUGCCUGGUAUAAUAUUUAAAUUAUUAAUUGCAAUAACAAAUGACGCAAUACCAGUAAUAAAUACGCUUCUUUUCUUUAAAAUUUAUCAUUUAUCACAUUUCUACCAGAAACACAAAUUCUAGAAUUAAGUUCAAUUAAUUAAAUUAAAUUAAAUUUGAUUUUGUCAAAAAUGAUAAAAUUUUCCAUAAUUUUAUCUUGUCUAUGUUUAUUAGGUACAUUGUUUACCGUACAAAGUAAAACAUGUACCACAGAUUGUACAGGACGAUAUUCGUGUCCAUUGCUUCCGGCGGAUUGUACGAGAAAUGGCGGCGCUGUACAAAAAUACCCAGAAUGCGCAUGUUGUGACGCAUGCGUGUAUACAGUUGGUUUGAAUUGUUUCUGUGGAUUUAAUUCUACCAUCAGUUCAUGGCAAAAAUGUGGAUGCAACUUAAGAUGUACCAAAUCACCGGAAACAGGUGGUUAUUGUGUAGCUAAAUCAGACGACGAUUCAUCUUGCAGCGAUUGAUUCAAUAAAUCAUGUUAUCAGCUACUUUGUUAUACAAGCAGCAAAAUAUAAUAAUAGAAUAAAGUAUAUAAUGAGCUAAA